GUGGGGCACAAUUAAGGCGAUGUGGAUAGAUCUCAUAUCGCUUCUUGUUGGUAUGACUUGAUCCCCCUAAUGCAGAACAGAUAGUGACAUUUCCCGAGCUUUUGUUGCUGGGAAUUUUGUUUUUCUUUAGACUAAUUUAUUCAUAUAUUCUUACAA